rnacentral:rRNA from 1 species
UGGGGAAUUUUGGACAAUGGGCGAAAGCCUGAUCCAGCAAUGCCGCGUGUGUGAAGAAGGCCUUCGGGUUGUAAAGCACUUUUGUCCGAAAAGAAAUCCUUGGCUCUAAUACAGUCGGGGGAUGACGGUACCGGAAGAAUAAGCACCGGCUAACUACGUGCCAGCAGCCGCGGUAAUACGUAGGGUGCAAGCGUUAAUCGGAAUUACUGGGCGUAAAGCGUGCGCAGGCGGUUUGCUAAGACCGAUGUGAAAUCCCCGGGCUCAACCUGGGAACUGCAUUGGUGACUGGCAGGCUAGAGUAUGGCAGAGGGGGGUAGAAUUCCACGUGUAGCAGUGAAAUGCGUAGAGAUGUGGAGGAAUGCCGAUGGCGAAGGCAGCCCCCUGGGCCAAUACUGACGCUCAUGCACGAAAGCGUGGGGGAGCAAAACAGGAUUAGAUACCCUGGGUAGUCCACGCCCUAAACGAUGUCAACUAGUUGUUGGGGAUUCAUUUCCUUAGUAACGUAGCUAACGCGUGAAGUUGACCGCCUGGGGAGUACGGUCGCAAGAUUAAAACUCAAA